rnacentral:rRNA from 1 species
AUUGAACGCUGGCGGCAUGCUUUACACAUGCAAGUCGGACGGCAGCGGGGUAGUGCUUGCACUACUGCCGGCGAGUGGCGAACGGGUGAGUAAUAUAUUGGAACGUACCGAGUAAUGGGGGAUAACCAAUCGAAAGAUUGGCUAAUACCGCAUACGCUCUGAGGCGGAAGCAGGGGACCUUCGGGCCUUGCGUUAUUCGAGCGGCCAAUAUCUGAUUAGCUAGUUGGUGGGGUAAGGGCCUACCAAGGCGACGAUCAGUAGCGGGUCUGAGAGGAUGAUCCGCCACACUGGGACUGAGACACGGCCCAGAGUCCUACGGGAGGCAGCAGUGGGGAAUUUUGGACAAUGGGCGCAAGCCUGAUCCAGCCAUGCCGCGUGUCUGAAGGAGGCCUUCGGGUUGUAAAGGACUUUUGUUAGGGAAGAAAAAGGAGCGGUUAAUACCCGUUUCUGCUGACGGUACCUAAAGAAUAAGCACCGGCUAACUACGUG